rnacentral:tRNA from 1 species
GGCUGUGUGUCUAGUGGUAUGAUUCUCGCUUAGGGUGCGAGAGGUCCCGAGUUCAAUUCUCGGCACAGCCC